UACGAACUGUGCGAACGUUAUUCGGAAUCACUGGGCUUACAGGGUGCGUAGGCGGCUUGUCGCGUCGACUGUGAAAUCCCGCGGCUCAACUGCGGGUCUGCAGUCGAUACGGGCAGGCUAGAGUUCGGUAGGGGAGACUGGAAUUCCUGGUGUAGCGGUGAAAUGCGCAGAUAUCGGAAGGAACAUCAGUGGCGAAAGCGACUUCCUGGACCAAUACUGACGCUCAUGUGCGAAAAGCGUGGGGAGCAAACAGG
rnacentral:rRNA from 1 species